UUAUAAUAUUUUUUUUGUUCGCUAAAAAAAAAAGAUAUACAAAGCGUCCUUAAUUACAGUUAAAAGUUGAUUGUUUUAAUAUAAUGUAGGUAUUAUCUCUUAAAAUAUCCGUGACUAAUUUGUUAGCACCUUAUAUAAUCACGUCUUGGUUUAAGCUCAUUUUAUAUAUACACUAGCACUCUCCAGACAUUGAGCGUCCAGACACGUAUCGUGCACCUGCGCGGCCGUGUAACUAUAAUAUGAAUACAUUAACCUUUUGGACGCCGAUGACCGAUAUAUCCGCAUCACAGGUACAACGCCAAAGACCGCUUAAUAGGUCAAAGACCACAGAGCAACAUACCUACGUGCAUAUGCAUAAAGUUCAAUUUCAGCUUUGAAACUGACGUAGCGUCCGAGUGACUGCUUUUGUAUUUGACACGGCGUCGAAAAGGUUAAUAGACACUGUACAGAUGGAUAUUAUUUUGUCUGGCACGCUCAAUGUCUGUAGAUAUAAGCCGACCUUGAUACCGUCUUUAGAUUAUUGCGUCAUACUGCUAUCGUUCCCUUUUUUACCUUGACUGUCUCCUGAUGGAUCCUUUGGAUCCUUUAUUCAUACACCGACACCCAAUAACGUGUACCAUUGUUCCUGACAUAGCUACAGAAGCUGAAACGAAACGUAUUUGUCAGUAGCAACCAUCGUCUAAUAGUUAACUGUCAUUUCGUAAAUCUUAUAAAGCAAGGACUCUAAGCACGAAGAAUCUCGUAUAUUGACCCGACUGUUCCUAUCUCUAUCGCACGCGCAUAUUUAUAUUGCCGCUCCGCUCGUAGUGUCAUUGACUGCCGCCAUUAUGGGCGCCGCACAGUGUCAUUGACCGCCGGCAUCAUGGGCGGAACAGCAAUAUAAUUACGCGCGUGCGAUAGAGAUAGGAACAGGUGUACGAAACGAGGGUUAUCUCUGCUUAGCGUCCCUGCUUUAGCAAAGACAUAAGUUUUACUAAUAAUUAAGAGGACAUUAGUUAUUAUAUAGAUACGUAUUGUAGUUUUAACUGUAAUCAGGGGCCGAUUGCAUAACAAACUACAACUAAUAUUACAAGCGGAACUCCUUAUUUAAUAAGUGAAAUUAGAAAAGGAGUUCCGCUUGUAAUAUUAGUUGUAGUUUGUUAUGCAAUCGGCCCCAGGUGUCUUGAGUGUGGUAAUCAACUAAUCAGAAUUAAGUUCCUUGACAAGCAAUAAAACGUGUAUGGUUGUCAGGAAGUACAAAUACAAAAUACGUUCAAAUGUGGCAUUCCAUUAGAGAAGAAUCCGUAUGCUAUAAGGACCUAUUUAUCAGAAAUUUCAGAUAAAAAGGUAGGUAGGUACUUUAUGCACUUGAAGCAUAACGACCCUUCUUUUGUGAUGGAAAACCACAAAUUAACUCAUACUUUCGCAUGGUAUAUAAUAGUUUAACAUUUUAUACUACUUCGUAUUCAGCUAAUUAUGUACUAUGUAUUCAUUGUACGGUAACAGACUUUAAUUGUAGGUCCAUUUAGGGUUCAAACUAAUUUGGUUGUCAAUACUAACGGUAUGAAAUGUCUAAUGUAAAGUGAACCCUAAAUGGCUCAACAACUUAAAGUUCGUGACUGUACCUAGGUAUAACCUUGUAAGGCCCACCAUACAAAGUUUCCCUAUUUUUAAUUUGGACCUUGUUGUAGUGAUAUUAGGGUGACUUUCGUUUGUUUUAGAAAACAGUGAAAUAAACGAAAUGCAGUUUUUGAAAAGUUCGAAUUAGAUUAAAACAAAGUGUAUAUUAUAAUGCAUAUUGGGCAUUACGAUGAUAAUACGAUGUAACUUGUAAGUCAGUUUUACUCGUCGGAGUGUAAAAUCAUAUCUUCCGCCAAAAGUCUUCCUUAUUAAUGAUUCCUUUCGCAACUAAAACUUUCCAUUUGGAUCAACUAACGAUAAAGUUUAGUAAUUUAUUUCUCGCAAUUUUUAAAUUGGCUGCUUAUUUGUAAGGCUUAUAUUUCAUACAUCCUAUGCUAUGAAUGAAUGAAUGAAUGAUUUUAUCUGUGUGUAAUGAUGCCAUUACAGCGUAUAAGCGAGCGAGCAGCAAGCUAUUGGCAGGCGUGGCUCACUCCGCGAUUUCGUCGCUUUAAUUGCUACAGGUAGCUAAAAGUAUAUCCGUUCCAUCCCAAUUUUGGGGAAAGCCAUAAGCCGCGCGUGGCGCUGUCGCCACCUAGCGGCCAUAUCUGUUCUGAUCGUAACAGACGCGUUUUGUUAGAGAGUGAGUCUUCUGUACCUAGUACUAUUAUUUAUUCUGUGCUAUUGUCUAGAAUUUAUAAAGCCUAAGGAAAAUUCGUACCUCGACUGUUAUGGCUGAAGUAGAUGGUUCCGUAUAUUGUGCGGUGAAUCUGACUGUCAAAAGUCGAUGUUUGGCAAUCUCGUUGCCACAAAACUAGGGAGUGCUCCCGGUACUGGUUUUCUAUACAAACACAGUACCGGAACCGGGAAUUCCCGGUUCUCGCCGUACAAGCUCAGUACCGGGAGCAUUCCCCACACAAAACAUGUGGCGACUGUACAGCGCCAUCUACAGCUGUGAACGUUGGAUAACUUUUCUGUAUAGAGUUGUUCACUAACUCUUUGUUAUUAUUCUAUUAUGCUCCUAUCAUGCUACCCUUAAAACUGAAUUUCCCGCUCAAAACAAUAUUUUUGUACUUACCUUGCUAAAAUAUGAGAUAUAAGCUUUAGGAAGUAAGCAUUUUAAAAGUUGGAUUCUUGUAGAUAUGUAUUAAGUAAUUAGUUCAAUUGGUGCAUAUGUUUUAAUUGGUGUCCAGGAGAAAAAAAAGGUUAUUUGUACUCGUCAAUGUGCAAUGAAAUUUAAAAAUAUUAAUGUUAGUAUUAGUCACAUGCUCUAUCAGAGGCCCAUUUCUCGAACUAUAUUAGACUAAUAUUAUUAGUCCACGAACUGUCAAAUUGUAUGGGUUGCCAUGACAACACACUAAUAAUAUUAGUCCACGAACUGUCAAAUUGUAUGGGUUGCCAUGACAUCACACUAAUAAUAUUAGACUAAUAUCUUUCGAGAAAUGGGCCCCAGCAUCUAGUGGUAUCUGUAUCUUUGAGAUAGUUAAAAGAUGGCUCUGUACUUUAAUACAAGUGUUUGCUUUCAUUGUGGUUUUAUCCGUGUCACAGGCAUCGCCAAGAUCUUCGAAUUUAUUAAAAAAAUCUGUGAAAUUAACUUUCCGAUAAAACGUUUAUUAAGUAGCGCCAUCUACAACAAUGAUGACUAUGAUAAGGCAAAGUAGCUUUAUAAAGAGGAUAACACUCUUUAUUGUAUUACUUUUCUCUGAUUUCUGACUUUUUUUAACCUUUUGGCCGCCGGACCUAGUCCGCAAAGACGCUCACUCACACGCCAGAGUAAAUUUUAAGUAAACAACUAAUAAAAAGUUUAGGGAUUGCAAAUUGUGAUAUCGAUAUUUACAAUUUAUGGUAAAAAUCUUCUCAAUUUGGCUUUGUUCUCAACCAACUUUAAUUUAUUUCGAGAAUGCCAAAACUUAACAUAUUUUUUACACACGACAAUGUUAAAAAUAAAGGUCUUUAUCAUUAAAAACAACCACUAAACAAUAUCGAUUCAUGACGUAAUAUCACCGCACUAGGCUCUACGAGAAGUCUUGUAUACAUGACAACGGCGCGCAUGGACUGCCCGCAGUGCGGACCGACAAGGACCGUUUCCACGCGGAUUAAGUAAUAAUAGUCUCUAGGUCAACGGCGUAAGCGCUUGUCGGUACGUAAACUUUAUAAGCGUUAGGUUAGAGCCGCGCAUCGUGUGUCGAUAACAUAAAUAUACCGGAACUGCGUUGGGGAAAAUGGCACGUGGGUUGAAUUGUCAAUGAGUGAACAACAAUAAUAUUGGAAAAGGGUGGGGAUCAGAAAUGUUCGGGAAUGCAUGUUUCACAUUCGACAUGUUCCUUAGAAGAGCUUGUCAGUUCCCGUAUUACACCCUCCCUACCAUAAUAAUUUUUCGUCAAUUUCAAAUACAUAGGUAACAUUCUCAUAGUUAGGCGACACUGACUAGUCCGAGCGUCCGCCUGUAGGUACCAUUCUUGUGCGAAGCGGUCACUGCAGGGUAUCACUCCCCACUAUACUGCAAAACGUAAUUCAAGACCAAAAAAAGUACGACAAUGUUGCCAUUGCAAUAAUUUGUUUGUAAAAUAGUAAAUUCCUUUUGAUAAAUAAUCACGCUCAGAUAAUUUAUUGCUUAGUAAUUUUACUACUACUAUUUAAUAAAGUACUUUUAUUUAUUUAUUUGUACAUAAAUACAAGACGCGCUAGUAAAAAGUGGCAACAUUUCUUACUUUUUUUGGUCUUGAAUUACGUUUUGCAGUAUACACUAUCAUCUCAAAAUGAAUCAUUUGUUCUGCAAAUAGACCACAAGGACAGAUUUACUUGUCUGACUCUACUAUGGACAGCUGAACAAGUUCCCUGAACUCCAGCUAUAGUUAUGCCUGUCUCUCUCUCGUUUCACGUAUUCUAGUUACUAGUUAUCACCAAUUGGCAUUUAACAGGUGUUAAAAUGCUUAAAUAAAACCAGAUUGGCCACUUGAUAUUUAAUUUGAAUAUUCUCUAGAGAUGCACCGGAUAUUCGGUUACUAUCCGGUAUCCGGCCUAUCCGGCCAGUAUUAUAAUAUCCGGCCGGAUACCGGAUAGUACCAUUGCUUGAUUUCGGAGUAAACGAAUUGGAUUUAAGAAACAGUCACGGUCAUAAUCGUACUUGUUUAUUAUUUUAAAACAAUUUAGAGAUUUCACUGACUUCGAACUCAUUUCGAACCUAGAAAUGUGUCCGCGCGAACGUUCACUUAGAAACAGGUCAAAACUGCAGAAUGCGCACCUGAAAAACCGAAAUGUAGGUGCAGCUCCGCUGGCCGAAUAUUCGGCGGCCGGAUACCAGAUAUUCGGCCGAUGGUCAGGCCGAAUAUCCGGUAUCCGGCCAAACAACUAUCCGUUGCACCUCUAAUAUUCUCAUAUCGAGUUAACAUUCCCAUCCCUAGCUGUCUUGUAUACAAGACAACGGCGACGAGGAACAUGAAAAACGUUGAAAACUGGAGCAAUUUUUUUGAUUGCCUUAUUAUAAAAGAAUGGAUUUAUUUAUCUGCUUUGAAUGCAAUUAUUUUAAAAAUCAAAGACCCAAAAAUAUUAACACGAGUGUAAAAAAUACUACAAUUGAUGUUUUUUCUCAUUUACGGAGCGGUUGAAUUUGUGUCUUGUAUACAAGACAGCGGCGCCAGUGUAUCGUUCUAUCGUUGUCUUGUAUACAUGCCAACGGCGGUCAAAGGGUUAAACGUUAUGUAUGAAUCAUUAGUUGAAUAUUAGUGCAGAUAAAAAAAAAAAUUGAUCGUGAAAUUAAAUACAGACGUUUUAAUUGUAACAAUGUAACUUUUGUAAAGGAUUAAAUUUAUUUGAAUAUUAUUAGCAUAGCUUAGGUUCGAAAUUAUCUCAUUAAAAAUAAAUAAUCAAAAAUCUACUAAUUAUGCGAGAGUGAAGUUCCGAAAUAUCUAAUCAAUUUACGAUUGUAUUUAAUCGUAGCCAGAAUACAUAUUAAUUUAAAAACGGUCAAUCCAUGAUCGGUCCGAUCAAGAAUCGAAACGGACCAUUCCAUGAAACGGGAAAAUACGAAGGAAAAUAAUUAGUAUCUGGGGGUCGAUUUUUGAAUUUCGAUCGAUCGAUUUCGUCACUCGAAAAUCGGUGGAAAACGACGAAAUGCUAAUUUUUGAAAUACGAGCGAUCGAAUUUUGGAAUCUAUUGGUAUUGACCACUCGAUUUCAAUUCUAUUAGUAGAAUUUAAAUGUCUAGUGGUGGAGAUAUUAUUUAACAAAAUACACGAAAUCGAGUGGUCGAAUUUCAAAAAUCGGCCCCCUGCUAUUGUUCUGUCCCCGUGUCAUGAAGUGCUACAUUUAUGCAUGUUUUUGUCGAUACCAAAACCAACGACGGAGAGUAAUUUAUUUGAGGCCAAAGUUUCUGUUAUAAAAUAUAUAUUUGUGUGCUUCUGCCAAUUUCGUAAACGUAAUGCGCACAAAAAAGGCAAAAGUACAGUCAGCAGCAGAAAUUGCUAAGCGGGCGAGUUGUUCAAAAAUACCUUGACGCGCGCGCUCUUAUUCUCUUAACAAUAAAGUCGCGUCAAGAUCAUUUUGAACACCUUGCCCGCUUAGCAACUAUUGCUGCUGACAGUGCUUACUUUACAGGCUUUUGUUUGCGUUGCGUUUAUAAUGAUUACUUUAGAUGUUGGCAUGGGUGGCGGAUUUUCAAGGUACGUUAAUGAACUAAUGACUGAAUAAAACGUGCGUUUUACAAGAGUAGACCAUAAUUUGUAUAUUUUAAAUCCCGAGAGCUAAGUAAAAUAUUUCUAUUUACUAUGUAUGUUACUUUGUUCACACGUAACCUCGCGGAUUAUUGUUAUUAUGCCAAUGUGUACAUUAUUUAUUGUUAAUAGCUAUUUUAUUGCAUUUUGGGCAUUGACAUAUAUCUAAGGACUGGCCUUACACUAAAAAUGGUACUAGGUCAGCGGUGUCUCGCACGAAUUCGAGCCAAUCGUGCAGACUAACGCUACCAAUCGCGCGCGUGUUGCGAGCUUAUCAACUAAUCGCGCGCGUGAUGUAAACUCAUCAACCAAUCGCGUUCUUCUGGCCCCAUUCUUAUUACCCGUAAGGCCAGUCCUUAGGUAUCUACGUCAAUGAUUUUGGGAUAUGUCAAGCCAUAAAGAGGUAGUCAUUGUUACGGAUUGCAAUUAUGUGAUGGUUGGAUGUGAUAAGGUGAAAACAAUACAUUAUAUACAAUUUAAGUAGCUUUACGUGUUAUGUUUAUUCAUAUUGUACAUCAUUUUUCAGAAUGUCUAUGGAUGGACCCAUCGCAAAAGUCGCACAACCGUUUUCUAUUAUAUUAGGUGGUUCAUACUGGAUGCGAUUCGCACGUCGCUCCGAUGUGCGACCGGGAUGUUGCUAUAAUACGCGCAUAGCGUUGUUUCGUUCAAACAUCGGUGCGACGUGCGAAUCGCAUCCAGUGUGACAACCGCCUUAAAUAGUCACUAUAGUUCGUUUUUUUUAGCAUUAGAAAGAACUUGAAAGAAGGUAAGCGAUCUUGGCAUGUCUUUUAAUUGAAAAACGCUUUUUAAAAAUCAAUAACAAUUACUUAUGAAAGCAGAAGAAUAUAAAUGAUCGUAUUAGAUUCGUAAUUGUUACAUAUUUGCCGUAACUUAUUUUUAAAAGGUGUUUUUCAAUUAAAAGACACAUCAAGAUUGUUUACCUAAUUUCUAAUGCUAAAAAAAACGAAGUAUAUUUGUACAAAUCAGUACAUUUUGAAAAUUGCUUGGGUGUAGUAAAUUAUAUUUUGGACAGGUUUGCGUGUAACCAAAACAUAAUUUAUGUAAGACUAGAUAUAAAUAACGAUAAUGUGUAGAUGUAUUUUUAUACAUGCUAAGCUGUAUUUUACUACGUAGAGUAUCUAAGGCAAACUUUGUUAUUUUGUAAGACAUUCAUACCAUCAUACCAAUAAAAGUAUAAACAUAU